rnacentral:misc_RNA from 1 species
UGGCUCUAGCAUCGAUGAAGAACGCAGCGAAACGCGAUAGCUAGUGUGAAUUGCAGAAUUCAGUGAAUCAUCGAGUCUUUGAACGCACAUUGCGCCUACUGGUAUCCCAGUAGGCAUGCCCGUCCGAGCAUCAUUUCAAUCCUCAGGCCUAGCCUGGUGUUGGAGUUUCUACAGAACUGUAGGCUCCCAAGUCAAGUAGCAGGGCUUAUUGUUUUCACCAAGUGUAGUAAAAUAAUCACUUAGGUGUAAUAAUAGGUCUUGUAAUAAACUUAUCACACUGUUGAUCUCGGAUCGGGUAGGGUUACCCGCUGA